GCACGCUUACUUUAUUACUAACAUCUUAAUCCAAAAUUUCAAUCCAAUACUCUUUUAAGGAAAAUGGGGUGGUUGCAUAAUCAAUCUUAUUAUUACUACUAUUGAAAAUAAGCUGGUAGGUAUAUCCUGGCAGAAC